rnacentral:rRNA from 1 species
UACGGAGGGUGCAAGCGUUUAAUCGGAAUUACUGGGCGUAAAGCGCACGCAGGUGGCUGAGUCAGUCGAUUGUGAAAGCCCUGGGCUUAACCUGGGAAUUGCAGUCGAUACUACUCAGCUAGAGUAUGGGAGAGGGUAGUGGAAUUCCCGGUGUAGCGGUGAAAUGCGUAGAUAUCGGGAGGAACGAUCAGUGGCGAAGGCG